AUCCUCCUGCCUCAGGCUCUCAAGUAGCUGGGACCACAGGCAUGUGUCACCGUGCCCGGCUAAUUUUUUUAUUUUUUGUAGAGAUGAGGUCUCACCAUGUUGCCCAGGCUGGUCUGGAACUCCUGGGCUCAAACCAUCCUCCUGCUUCAGCCUCCCAAAGUGUUGGGAUUACAGGCAUGAGCCACCACACAUGGCACUUCCAGUUCUCAAAUGCAAUUACUUCACACUCACCUCAAAUUCUGUUACUUCACAGGAUAAAAAAAGGAAAAUAAAGUUUACCUUUAGCCUCAUUCAUGCCCUUAAUCCUAACAGCACCUUAGACUGGCCCACGUCCAAGCAGAGGUCUUAGGAAACACCAGUGAGGCAGUGCUGCCACCUUGUGACCAUCAUCAGUAAAUGCACUUAAACCUUGUCACCAGUAAAGGAAGUGGGAGGGCUGGCAAGAGCAAAGGGUAGGAGGUAAAGUCCAGGUCACAAAGGAGAUAAAAUCACAAUCGCCCACAAAGACAGGAAGUAACUGUCAGAGAGCUCAGCCUGCAUCAUAGGGCCGUGUCUCAUUGCAAAAGACAGUUUGUAUAAUACCUAAUAUGUGGUAUCAGUGGGAAACCUAGUUUCAAGCCAAGCUCUGCCCUUGUAACCUUAGAAAUCACUCUAACAGAUUCCCAGCCAUAUGAAGACACCCUAGCUGGACAACCCGUUCUUGUUAAGAAUCUGACCCCUCAAACUCUACAACCUCAAUGGACUGGACCCUACUUAGUCAUCUCUAGCACCCCAACUGCUGUCCGCCUGCAGGAUCCUCCCCAUUGGGUUCACCAUUCCAGAAUAAAGCUGUGUCCAUCAAACAGCCAGCCUAAUCUCUCCUCUUCCUCCUGGAAGUCGCAAGUACUCUCCCCUACUUCCCUUAAACUCACUUGUAUUUCUGAAGAACAGUAAUAACCCUCAUGAGCCUAAUACGUCCCUUCAUUCUACUAGGUCUGUUCAUCCUUACCCUACUUUUUGCAACAGGGCUUUAUGCAGUCACCCCCACUACUUGGACUGCACCCCAAAAAACUUGUCAUCCCUACUAUCUUCUGUCUAGUCAUACUCUUAUUCACCGUUCUCAACUACUCAUAAAUGCCCUGCUCUUGUUUACACUGCCAGUUUACACUGUUCCUCCAAACCAUCACAGUGGAUAUCUCCUGGUGCUAUCCCCAAACUGCCACUCUUAACUCCCUCUUAGAGUGGAUAGAUGAUCUUUGCUGGCAGGGCACCCUCCAAUACUUCCACCCUGAUGAAGUUCUAUUCUUUACUUUUAUACUCACUCUUAUUCUCAUUCCCAUUCUUAUGCCACCCUCUACCUCUCCCCAGCUAUCUCCACCACACUAUCAGUCUCAUUCACUCUCUCCUAGCCGUCUCUGAUCCCUCCUUAGAGAACAAUUGCUGGCUUUGCAUUUCCCUUUCUUCCUGUGCCUACACAGCUGUCCCCGCCUUACAUACAGACUAAGCAACAUCUCCUGUCUCCCUACACCUCCGAACUUCCUUUAACAGCCCUCACCUUAACCCUCCUAAAGAAAUUCUUUACUUUCUAGACAGGUCCAGCAAGACCUCCCCAGACAUUUCACAUCAGCAAGCUGCCGCCCUUCUCCGCACUUACUUAAAAAAUCUUUCUCCUUAUAUUAAUUCUACUCCCCCCAUAUUUGGACCCCUCACAACACAAACUACUAUUCCUGUGGCCACUCCUUUAUGUAUCUCUUGGCAAAGACCCACUGGAAUUCCCCUAGGUAACCUUUCACCUUCUCCGUGUUCCUUCACUCUUCAUCUCCAAAGCCCAACUACACAUAUCACUGAAACAAUUGGGGCCUCCCAGCUCCAUAUUACAGAAAAGCCCUCUAUCAAUACUGGCAAACUUAAAAACAUUAGCAGUUAUUAUUUCCUAGGAAGACACUUACCCUGUAUUUCACUCCAUCCUUGACUACCUUCCCCUUGCUCGUCAGACUCUCCUCCCAGGCCCUCUUUUUGUUUGCUUAUACCCAGCCCUGUAAAUAACAGUGAAAGGUUGCUCGUAGACACUCAACGUUUUCUCAUACACCAUGAAAAUCGAACCUCCCCCUCUAUGCAGUUACCCCAUCAGUCCCCAUUACAACCUCUGAUGGCUGCCGCCCUAGCUGGAUCCCUAGGAGUCUGAGUGCAAGACACCUCUUUUAGUAUUCCUUCUCAUCUUUUUACUUUGCAUUUCCAGUUUUGCCUUGCACAAGGUCUCUUCUUCCUCUGUGGAUCCUCUGCCUACAUGUGUCUACCUGCUAAUUGGACAGGCACAUGCACACUAGUUUACCUUACUCCCAAAAUUCAAUUUGCGAAUGGGACUGAAAAGCUUCCUGUUCCUCUCAUGACACCGACAUGACAAAAAAAAAGGUUAUUCCACUAAUUCCCUUACUUGUCG
rnacentral:lncRNA from 1 species